UAUUCUUGCUAGCUAGCUAGUACUAUUUCUCUAAAUUUCUUGUGUAAUUCUUCCCAACUCUCUCUCAAUCUGCUACAACUUGUUGCUUCAAUUCCUUGUAGCUAGCAACUAACUGGGACUAAUAAUCGAUCUUACUAAUAAUUGAGGGGUAUGGUAGGAAAGGAAUAAUUGAGAGGUAUGGUAGGAAAGGAAGGGCAGAGAGUGAGUGAGGAGUGAGCUCGCUAGCUACCAACAACAAUAAGCUAGGUAGGAGGAGGAGAAGAAGAUGGACAAGUAAGUGGAGAAGAAGAAGAAAGAAGAUGGACAAG
rnacentral:lncRNA from 1 species